rnacentral:rRNA from 1 species
AUUGAACGCUGGCGGCAGGCCUAACACAUGCAAGUCGAGCGGAUGAAGGGAGCUUGCUCCUGGAUUCAGCGGCGGACGGGUGAGUAAUGCCUAGGAAUCUGCCUGGUAGUGGGGGACAACGUUUCGAAAGGAACGCUAAUACCGCAUACGUCCUACGGGAGAAAGCAGGGGACCUUCGGGCCUUGCGCUAUCAGAUGAGCCUAGGUCGGAUUAGCUAGUUGGUGAGGUAAAGGCUCACCAAGGCGACGAUCCGUAACUGGUCUGAGAGGAUGAUCAGUCACACUGGAACUUAGACACGGUCCAGACUCCUACGGGAGGCAGCAGUGGGGAAUAUUGGACAAUGGGCGAAAGCCUGAUCCAGCCAUGCCGCGUGUGUGAAGAAGGUCUUCGGAUUGUAAAGCACUUUAAGUUGGGAGGAAGGGCAGUAAGUUAAUAGUACUCAGCUUUGACGUUACCUACAGAAGAAGCACCGGCUAACUCUGUGCCAGCCGCCGCCGUAAUAC